UCCAGCUUCCACAAAAAAAUCAUUUAAACUCUUCCGCACUUCUGGCUGCGCCACCUCGCUGAAUGAAUAAGGAUUCACGGUCGCCUUCACCUUUCCUCUGAGUUUUGGACCAUACGCGACAGAGGUCGAUCGUUGGAUUGAAUUCCGGUAGAAAAAGUCGAGAUUGUAAGCUCUCGUCGAAACUGAGGAGAUGAUGGGACAAAUUCUGACAGUAAUCGCCAUUGAACAGAGACCUCCUACGUACAUUGUUUUCUAGGUAGAACAAGAUUUUUGUUCUCCAACUUCAUCUUCAAUCCACAGAACACGACAAGCUCGUGCCCGCGAGAAAACAGGGGUUUUAAUUUCAAAUCAUCUUCUUUCCUUCAUCUAUACUGAUAAAAAGGAAAUUUUUUUAAAAAAUCUACUUAAAUACUUUACAUAAUUUAAAUGAACUCAUUUAUUAUGCUUCCAUAAUCUAUAAUCUAUUAUAUAAUUACUCUAACGAUAAAUCCCUAUGAAUAUAGGAUAGAUUAUUCAAACAUGUUUUAUUUUUAUUUUUUAUUUUUUUUACAAGAAAAGGAUAAAAUGAAACUAAUGUGAUUCUUGAUCCAAGAGCCUUGGAAGAAUUGAGUCAACAUAAACCACAACAGAAAGCUGAUUUCUAGCACCUCGUGCCAGCUUAAAUACUUUACAUAAUUUAAAUGAACUCAUUUAUUAUGCUUCCAUAAUCUAUUAUAUAAUUACUCUAACGAUAAAUCCCUAUGAAUAUAGGAUAGAUUAUUCAAACAUGUUUUAUUUUUAUUUUUUAUUUUUUUUACAACAAAAGGCUAAAAUGAAACUAAUGUGAUUCUUGAUCCAAGAGCCUUGGGGGAAUUGAGUCAACAUAAACCAUAACAGAAGGCUGAUUCCUAGCACCUCGUGCCAGCUUAUCCGCAAUUGUGUUUUGUGCCCUCGGAAUAUGUUGAAUAGUAAAGGGGUGAAAAAAUUCCUUACAUCGCAUAAACUCCUCCAUGUGUGUAGUGAACGCUGGCCAUUCUGUAGGUGAAUCUUCACCAGUUGAGAGCAGUCAGUUGUAAACACCACUUCUGAGAUUUGUAGGGUCUUCAUGCACUCCAUCGCCCAUAUCAAAGCUUCACAUUCAGCAUGUAAAGGUGAUAGACUCCUGCGAAUAGCCACUGCACCCAUCAUAGUAUCAGUUGAUCCACCUGUUUUGUAAACUCAUCCUUGUCCCGUACAAAAAUCAUGUGCCCUCCAUGCCCCAUCAAUGUAACACUUAUCUAUCGCCAAAGCAUCAUGGUUCUCCACAAUAUGUGGGGGAGCCCAAUUUAUUAAAUUUUUGGUCUGAGAUUCAGCCCACAAAACACUUUUAAUUUCCGUAGUCCGGAGAAGAUUUAAAGGAUCCCUUAUCUGAUUUUUAGAAAUCUUAGCAUUCCGAUUCUUCCAAAUAUACCAUAAAAUCCAUGGAAAAUAGUUCAAAUCUAAUUCUUUUGGUGUCCGCCAAAAGAGAUAGUCCAUGUUUGUAAAAAGAGAUGGGGUCGGAAAAAUCCUUGGGCAUGAUAGGAUAUUAGAUAAAGCCCAAAUUUGAAGUGCUAAUGGACAUUCAAAAAACACAUGAUUAAUAGAUUCUUCUUCAGCCCCACACAUUUGACAUUGCAUAUCACAUUUGAUUCCCCGUGAGUGAAGAUUCCUGGACACCGGUAAACAACCAGAAAUUAUUUGCCAAACAAAAUGUUUCAAUUUUGGUGAGCAUUGUAACUUCCAAGAGUGCGCUAAUAAUGGUUUUAUCCGGUCCCAUAUCCCUAUCCUGAGUACCCUUAUCAGGAUAUAAUUUCUCUGUCUGAUAGCCUGAUUUUACCGUGUAUCUACCAUGAUCCGUAAAUGCCAGCCAUAUGAAUCUGGCUUAGGGUUACGACUAAUGGCUAAACUCCGUAUAGUACUCACAUCGUCCUGAUGGACAAAUGCGUUGAGUAAAUCCAGGUUCCAAGAAAGAUCAACUGGAUUAAUUAAAUCCUCCACCUUAAGUAAUGGAUUCAAGAAUUGAUUUGAAAAUUUUGGGAUUGCUGACCUCGGGCGAAGAGCGGGGAUCCAAGGAUCAUUGCAGACUGAAAUGGUUGAACCUGUUCCCACUCUUUUAAUUAGCCCUUUAUUAACCAGAGAUAUAGCUGAUGUGAUACUCCUCCACCCAUAUGAGGGAGAAUGUGAUCUGAUAUGAUCCAAAGGAUCUGACUUUCGGUAAUGAUCUGAUAAGAUCCAAAGGAUCUGAGUUUCGGUAAUAUUAUCUACCUUUAAAAACCCUUGCAAACAAAGAAUUUGGUUUGUCGAUUAAUCUCCACAACUGUUUUGCUAAUAAAGCCGUAUUAAAAUUCUGAAUAUCUCUAAAACCAAUGCCCCCUUCAGCUUUAUCUUUACACAAUUUGUCCCAUGAAAACCAAUGCAUGCCUUUUGUAUUGCCGCUGCCACCCCACCAAAAGUGAGCAACUGUGCUCGUAAGUUUCUUAGUAACCGUUUUUGGUAAACGGAAGCAAGACAUAACAUGAGUUGGCAUGGGGGAUGCUACUGCUUUUAUUAAGACUUCCUUCCCGCCCUUCGUGAUAAAUCGGAGAGUUUAAUUAUUGACCUUAUUAUUAACACUUUCAUUGAGAAAACCAAAAACUUGUGUUUUAGAGCCACCAAGACUCUCUGGGAUUCCCAAGUAUGUUCCCAUGCCACCUAUUGUAGUAAUACCCAAUACCUGUUGUACCUCUAAUCGUACUGAAUCUGGUACCUUAUGUCCAAACUGUAGGGACGAUUUCAAAAUAUUGAUCUACUGUCCUGACGCUCUUUCAUAAUCUUUCAAAAUCUGAAGAAUGACCUCACAUUCUUGCCUAUUGGCUCUGCAGGAAAAGAGACUAUCAUCAACAAAUAAUAAAUGUGAAAUUGCCAGAUUGCCGCGCGCAAUUUUUAGCCCAGUUAGUAACUUUUCUUCUUCCUUCUUCCGAAUAUUUGCUAUUAGUGUUUCACUGCACAAAAUAAAUAAAUAAGGCGACAAAGGAUCACCCUGUCGCAGUCCUCUAUUUGGUAUAAUAUGUCCUUUUGGCUGACCAUUAAUUAAAACUUUGUAUUGUACCGAAGAGAUGCAAGACAUUAUCCGAGAUACCCAUCGUUGUGCGAAACCCGACUUUAGUAAAAUAGCUUCGAUAAUGGGCCAUUCAACUCUAUCAUAAGCCUUACUCAUAUCCGUCUUUAUAGCCAGAAAUUUCUCUUUACAUGAGUUAUUCGUAUGUAAUCCAUGAAACAUCUCUUGCGCAAUUAGAAUAUUAUCUGAAAUCAACCUCCCAGAAACAAAAGCUGAUUGUGUUUCUGAGACCAGGUGUGGUAGUAGCCGUUGGCAAAGCACCUUUGAAAUAAUAUUAUAUCCCACAUUACAUAAACUGAUGGGUCGAAGUUCCGUCAUUCGAUUUGGCCGCACUGUCUAUUCAAACAUGUUUACACAUGAAGUGAUCAUUACCACAUAUAGUUCCAUUAAUAGUAUAAAAUUUUUAACGUUAAAACCCUUCAAUAAAGUUUGUUUUGGGUAAACCCCCAAACUAAGUAUUUAACGAAAAAACCUUCAAAAUAAUUUUAUUUAAUGAAUUAAACACUAGCAAGUCAUAAUUACAAUUACUACCGGUAAAUCUUUAGUUUGGGGGUUUCUACAUUAAGUAAACAUAGUUGAGGGGUUUUACCAUUAAAAAAAAAUCAAAAUUUUAUAACAUUACCUAAAAAUUGGAUAAUUUUUAGUAUAUUAUAUGGGUUCUUACAUUUUUAAUUUAAAAUUGUUGAUGUUAAAAACACAUCAAACUCAUAUAUUUACAAUAAAAAAUUUAAAAUCCUAAUUUUAAAAAUUUAAGUUACUAAUUUUAGAUAAUAUUAUAAAAUUUUGAUUUUUCUUUUAGAUUUUUAAAGGUAAAACCCCUCAGUUGCGGUAUAUAGUCUCAAGAAGUGAUGGAAAUAAUAUACCUCAAUUUGGUAGCGUCCUGUGUUAUCUCUUGUAUGAAAUUCUUUAUGAAAGGGAUCUUCAUUUGAUCAUUGUAAUCCAAAACCAUCUGAGAAUCGCUCAAAGAAGUUACUCAAAAGAGCCGAUUGAAAUGGGUGGACACAGAAUAGACUUGGCACUCUAAAGCUAGUUUUAAGAAUGUUGAUCAUUGUAAUCCAAUACGGAAAAGAGACUAUGCUUACUUGACAGAGAUCAUCUUCUCCAACAACGCCAAAAGGAAUGAUUUUUGCUCCAAAUUUAGAUGCGAUCCUUACAAACUCUGAGUGUUGUGGCCAAAACAACUUGUAUUCUUCACCCUGUAGAAAAUGUGAAUAACCACAGAUUUGACAAGAAGGCCGCCAAAUAAUGAAAAUACAAAGCAUUACCUUUCUGUGCAAAGCUUCACGGACACCUCCAGGAUACAAAAGCACAUGAGCUUUCGAACAAAGUAGUUUGUAGAAAUUGAGACUAGAGACAGGGACCGCCCCACCUAUCCUAACCGAGUCGAACAUCUGCAUAUCAGGGAGUUUUGAGCCUACUGUUUUGCUAAACAUCAUGGGAUGGGCCAGUCCACGCAACAUAAUGUUCUUUUCUUUCAAGAGAUGAAUUGCUAACUGAAGCAAUUCGAUACCAAGCAACAUGUGAUUCCCAACAUAAAUAACCGGGCCCUCUGAAGGUAUUCCUGCAAGUGAUCUUACUAUAGUGCCGUUUUCUAGAGUUGAGAAAAAUGCUGGAGAAAUCGCAGCGGUUACUAAUCUGUACCAGAGGAAUUAAUAGUAACACUACCUUAUCAGUCAAAAUUUUUUUUUUUUGGACACAGAAAUUGGACAGAUAAGAUCAGAAUAGUGAUGCAGAAACUGACUUUUGUGAUUCUUCAAACUCUUUGAACUCAAACGGAGUGGGCAUAAUGUAAUCGGAAAUGUAAUCAAGUGUCUUUCCACGGCGAUAAAAAUAGGCAAACUUGAUGAUAGUCACGAGAUCUACUCCAUCCUCCUAGCAUUACACUAUUAUUGAUCAGUCGAGCUGUAAGAUUAUUUGUAAAUCAAACACAGUAUAGAAGUUCCAUUGCACCAAAGCUGGUAGAAACUAGAUAGUCAAUGAAAGCAGAAGAUGUUUUAAAUUCAUUGUUAAAGCACUGACGCAAAUAAAGUUCUUACCAAGAAGAGGAACUGUCCAUUAUUCUUAAACUUACGGACUUCACAUUUCGGCAAUGUACAAAGAAGUCUUUCAAUGUCUUCCUUGUUAAGUAACCACUGAUCGCGUCCACUGUAAUAUUCAUAACCAUAUAAAGGAACAAUUCAGCUUCCAGAGAUCGCUAAACUUCUACGUAUGACUAAUAAUGAAACAGGGAGGUUGACAAGUUUAUGAACCUCAGAAGUAUCAGUGUUUGGGCUUUGACUGUGUACAUAUGAGAAUUAAGAGAUGCUGAAGCAGACUUAAGCAGGUGAAGCUUCCAUAGAAGUGUGCCCUUAGGCAAGAUCCUAAUUAACGUCUGUAAAUAGUAUUUUCUUUCUUGAGUUCUAUCACAUAACACAUGUAAUGAAUGGAGAAAGUAAAAUAGAAACAGCAAAAUGAAGAAGACACAUGAGCAAAUUGCUUGUUAAACACUAAAAUCUGCUAUAUCACUUGUUAUCUGAAAAUAGUAUUACAGAUAGAUUAGCUGAAGUUGCAAAGAAGUCUCCAAAGAUCCCUCUGCCAAUCUGCGCAACAUCAGCUCCAUUCAGGAUAGUCUCUAAGAUUGUCGCCAACGGGUAACCUAUGUUUUUUAAAAUUAGCCCUGAUUUUGUAACAAAACUAGACACUUAAACCCGUCUUUCAGAGAGAAAAUUUCGGACCCUUUUUUUUUUGUAUUUCCAUUUAAUCAGGUGCAAGAAAUAAAAGGAGUUGAAACUUUACCAAGCUUAAACCCAAAGUUUUCCUCUAUCAAGAUGGGAACUUGGUCAGGCAAGAAUUCCAGUAGACCGGAUAAAGGUUGCAAAAUGAAGUUGUUUAAACGUGUGACUGCAUCAAACAUGAUCAAGAAUCACAAUAAAGAAUCUAGGAAAAAAAGGGAGUACGUAGUGUUAUUUUGUUUUACCUGGAUUAGCAAGAAUCAAGACAAGAUUGAUGUCAGGGUUGCUCGCAGCAACAUCUAGAGCAAGGCAAGCUCCAAUAGAUUCUCCAACGAUAUAUAUGGGCCAAUUUGGGAAACGAUGAUAUCUAACUGUCCUCUCAAUGAGCUUCACAAUGUCUGAAAUCAGAAAGAAUUGAAACACAUUGGUUGGUUACACAAGAGUAAUUAUAAAAUCAGAGAAUGUUUGACAAAUUAAGAAAUACCUCGAGAAGGGGUACGAUCACUGACUGGAAAAUGAAGGCACCAUAUGUCAAAUAUCCUAUUGUCAAAAGACAAUGAGAUGAGGAAACAAAGACUAUAAAAUUAUUCUGUUAAAAAUAUAAAUAUCAGGAAAUAAAGAAAAUUGGGUGAAGUUGGCUUACUCUCCAAGCCUUCUGUGGUGGCGAAUGAGCCCUAAUCCAGUACCAUCGAUCCCUGCAGUUUUGGACAAAAAUAUAGAUCAAGCUGUCAUUGAUUUCAUCCAUAUAUUAAAAAGACGAACCCGGUACAUAGAGAAGGAGAGGAGAUCCUGGAGCUCUUGCCCCACAUUCUAACGGAGAGAACCACCGUGGCGGACCUCCAUCUGUACUUAAAAAGUCUCCAGCUUCCACAAAAAAAUCAUUUAAACUCUUCCGCACUUCUGGCUGCGCCACCUCGCUGAAUGAAUAAGGAUUCACGGUCGCCUUCACCUUUCCUCUGAGUUUUGGACCAUACGCGACAGAGGUCGAUCGUUGGAUUGAAUUCCGGUAGAAAAAGUCGAGAUUGUAAGCUCUCGUCGAAACUGAGGAGAUGAUGGGACAAAUUCUGACAGUAAUCGCCAUUGAACAGAGACCUCCUACGUACAUU
rnacentral:lncRNA from 1 species